AUUUAGGGAGCUACCAUUUGAUUUUUGAUGGGGGGGCUAGGAUGAAAUUUGAAAAAAAUAGGCAGGACAGGAGUUUUGAGUAAAAAAAAAGGCAGGAUGAGAAACUUGUUAAAAAAAAAGGCAGGAUGACAAUUUGUGUAAAAAAAGUCAGGAUAAACUAGUAAAAAAAAAGGCAGGACCGAAUAGAGUAAAAAAUAAAAAGGCAGGACAGAGAUUACAACUAAAAAAAAAAGCAGGACAAAAUUUUUCAUCCUAGCCCCCCCAUAAAAAUCAAAUGGUAGCUCCCUUAAUGAUAUAUUUUU
rnacentral:lncRNA from 1 species